rnacentral:lncRNA from 1 species
CUCACUGCAACCUCCACCUCCCGGGUUCAAGCAAUUCUCCUGCCUCAGCCUCCUGAGUAGCUGGGACUACAGAUGCAUGUCACCACACCCGGCUAAUUUUUGUAUUUUUAGUAGAGACGGGGUUUCACUAUGUUGGCCAGGCUGGUCUCGAACUCCUGACCUCGUGAUCCGCCCACCUCAGCCUCCCAAAGUGCUGGAAUUACAGAGCAUGAGCCACCAUACCCAGCCAGCAAUGUUCUUUUUUACCCUUUGUCACUGACCAACCUUCUAGGGUGAAACUGGCAGUGUAGGUGAAUAUCUAGUUUCCUGAAUAUCUAGUUCCCUGAAUAAUCCUCUUUGAGUCUCCCACCAUCCCUGCCAUGUAAAUUAUUAUACCUCAUUUUAUGAAUAAAGAAACUGGUUGGGCACGGUGGCUCACGCCUGUAAUCUCAGCACUUUGGGAGGCUGAGGCGGGUGGAUCACCUGAGGCUAGGAGUUCAGGAUCAGCCUGGGCAACAUGGCGAAGCCCCAUCUCUACUGAAAAUACAAAAAAUUAGCUGGGCAUGGUGGUUCACGCCUGUAAUCCCAGCUACUGAGGAGGUUAAAGCAUGAGAAUCACUUGAACCCGGGAGGCAGAAGUUGCAGUGAGCCAAGAUCGUGCCACUGCACUCCAGCCUGGGGGACAGAGUGAGACCGUCUCAAAAGGGAAAAGAAAGAAGAGAGAGAGAGAGUUUCAGGGAGACUCAAUAAUUUGCCCAAAGCAUAGAGAGAUAUUUUGAGAUUUUCACUUGUAUUGUUUUCCUUCCCUUUAGUCUGCCCUUUCACGUGCUGCCCAAUGCCAGCAGACGGCCUAGUGUACUUAGGUACCCUCACAGGGUGGACAGAUUCCACCUUCCCAAAUGCAAGCAGCUCUGACUGCUGCUGCCCAUUAGCACGGUCCUGUGAAGGCUGAGGACACAGCUUGAGACCCUGAGGACAAUGGUAGCUGGAGAGAAAUGGGCACGAUGGGAAGAAUGCCCCCUGCCCCCCUCCCC